rnacentral:rRNA from 1 species
AAAACAUCUCUUAUUGAUUAAAAUAAUAGGUUGAUUCUGCCCAAUGAUUAUUUGAAUGGCUGCAGUAUUUUAACUGUACUAAGGUAGCAUAAUCAAUUGAUUUUUAAUUAAAAUCUGGAAUGAAAGAGUUGAUGAAAUAUAAUUUUUAUUAAAAUAAUUAUUUGAAUUUUAAUUUUAAGUAAGAAUGCUUAAAUUUUUUUAAGGGACGAGAAGACCCUAUAGAAUUUUAUAUUUUUUGAUUAAUUUAUUUAAUAUAAUUUAAUUAAAAAAAUAUUUAUUUGGGAGGAAUUUUAAAUUUAAUUAACUUUAAAAUUUUGUUUACAUUAAUUAAUGGUUUAUAAAUAAUUUUAUAUAUUAAGUUUUAAACUAAAUUACCUUAGGGAUAACAGUGUAAUAUUUUUUUAAAGUUCUUAUUAAAAAAAAUGUUU